AACAUCUCAUGUGGUAACAGUUCUUGUGGAUUUCGAUCUUGAAAUUUGCCUUUAACUGAAUUAACAUCGGACUCAAUUCAUUAAGAUUUGAUCCCAUUUCUGGCUUUUUAGACUUAAACAUUUCUACACGUUUUUGAAUUAUUAAUUAGUGGAAUCAUAAUUAUGUCUUUUACCGAUUUACCAGAUAAUUGUCUUUGGAAGAUUUUCGAAAAUGUCAAUGGGGUCAUAGAUUUGAUUCAAUUUUCUAAAGUUUGUUCGAGAUGGUCCGAUUUAAUUAGGCUAAGAUUUAAUCGAGUAAAAUAUUGUAUCGAAAAUAAAGUUGAUUAUAUUGAUGAAAACAGUUUGUGGAUUAAUCAUAAUACGAAUUGGAAUGA